UACGUAGGGUGCGAGCGUUGUCCGGAAUUAUUGGGCGUAAAGGGCUCGUAGGCGGUUUGUCGCGUCGGGAGUGAAAUCCACUGGCUUAACUGGUGGCUUGCUUUCGAUACGGGCAGACUGGAGGUAUGCAGGGGAGAACGGAAUUCCUGGUGUAGCGGUGGAAAUGCGCAGAUAUCAGGAAGAACACCCGUGGCUAAGGCGGCUCUCUAGUACGGUACUGACGCUGAGACGCGAAAGCGUGGGGAGCGAACAGG
rnacentral:rRNA from 1 species